UUUGUUAACGUUAAUUGUUUGUUAGCUUGUUAACUUUACCAGUUGGCUAACAUCAGCCUGUUUAAUGUUAACGGUAACGUUACGGUUAACAGCUAACGAGUCAGAAGCCAACGUUUGCAUUUACGGUGAGCGAACUGACGAUAGCGCUAUGUUCGUACAAGUCAAAACUCUGCAACAGCAUAAUCAUGUAACUGACGUUACCACUUAACGUUACUUACUUACGCCUCUUUAUCCCCUGUGGGACCUAAGGCUGCAGAGAGAUCUCAUCAUCACAUUUCUUCCUUGGCAACAUGCUGCGCGUCUCCCUGUGAGAGGUGCAUCUUGUCUAGCAGCUCCUUCAACGUUUAGACAGCAGCUAGCAGGACCCAAAAGGGCCAACUUCUUCUUAAGAAGGACAGCACUGUUGUUGCCAGCUUGGCCUUUGUUUGUGGUCUGACUGAUUCUCUUCUAGUCUCUAAUCUUUUCAGAUAAUUGAAAUAAAAACUUUG